rnacentral:rRNA from 1 species
GAUGAACGCUGGCGGCGUGCCUAAUACAUGCAAGUCGAGCGAAUGGAUUAAGAGCUUGCUCUUAUGAAGUUAGCGGCGGACGGGUGAGUAACACGUGGGUAACCUGCCCAUAAGACUGGGAUAACUCCGGGAAACCGGGGCUAAUACCGGAUAACAUUUUGAACCGCAUGGUUCGAAAUUGAAAGGCGGCUUCGGCUGUCACUUAUGGAUGGACCCGCGUCGCAUUAGCUAGUUGGUGAGGUAACGGCUCACCAAGGCAACGAUGCGUAGCCGACCUGAGAGGGUGAUCGGCCACACUGGGACUGAGACACGGCCCAGACUCCUACGGGAGGCAGCAGUAAGGAAUCUUCCGGAAUGGACGAAAGUCUGACAGCGCAACGCCGCGUGAGUGAUGAAGGCUUUCGGGUCGUAAAACUCUGUUGUUAGGGAAGAACAAGUGCUAGUUGAAUAAGCUGGCACCUUGACGGUACCUAACCAGAAAGCCACGGCUAACUACGUGCCAGCCGCCGCGGUAA